GAGUAAUCAGUCAAACACUGACUGCAGGACUGCUCUACCAAAGGAGAUUGAAAAGGGAAGAUUCUUGGGCAGUCUCCAGCCUGAAGGCUGCAACAGCCGCCAGGUGUACUCUGACAGAUGACUGACAAAGCCCAGAACGCUUCAAUUCAAGAAGUGUCAUCUGUUUGAUUGCCAAACAACGUGGAACCAUCAAACAGAAGAUCCUCAAUCCUAGUCCUGACUUCUGUGUUGAGGCCGGAGGAACUAAGCCAAGCAUGACGCCAUAGGGCUACGGAGGUAGCAAGGGACCUGCCAAUAGCAUCUGUGGCAUGUUUGAAGGACUGGGAGCAGUCAUGUGCGUCCUGGAGGAGGCAGCUAGCUUGUCCCGAGGAAACCAGGGGCUGUGUCAGAACGGAGGAUGUCAAAGUCUGCCCCUCUGAGGUGAUGAAUAACUGGUUGCUCCAUCACUAGAUUCUGCAUUAGAACCCACUGUAGAAUCAGAAUCCAAGCAUUCCAGCAAAAACUCCGAAACACCUGUUGGCAAAGUCAUCUCUGGAAGUUAAAGGCAAAAAAAAGAGGAUCAAAAGACUGCUCAAUCAAAAGAUACUACCCGUAUCUACCCAAAUAGAAGCUCCCUAGGCCAAGAAGAAUAUUGUACUAGCUCCUGAUUAGCAAGAAAUAUCUAUCGGUGGAAUUGACUUGAAGGGUAAUACUAGAUAAUAACGAAAUUUUGUUUAAAAGGUAGGAUUGCCCAUCAGCUGGAGACUGUGAAUUCAUACACAAAGUGCGAAGUUGAAAAUAGAAUAAGCAUGAACUAGGAAAAUGGUUGUUUUACUUGCAACUUUGCUGCCAGUCCUAUUUGAAUGCAGAUAAAACGAAGAUACUAAAGCAGAUUCUUCAUCAUUGUUUUGCACUGAUAUGACUACAGAAAGAAGCUGAGCAAUGGAGAAUUAGAUCCUUAAGUAUAAAGUAUUUGCAGCUGGGCAAUCAAAACAUCAGAAGAAGCAUUUGAAAAAAUACAAGAAUAAUACAUUUUGUAUUAGAAGUACUACAUCAAAUAUGCAGCCACUUUUGUAAUCUUACUUUUUGAUCAGAACAGACAUUAAUAAAUCAGUGUCCAUAUAUACUCA